rnacentral:rRNA from 1 species
GUCGAACGCUGGCGGCGUGCCUAACACAUGCAAGUCGAACGAGUGGCGGACGGGUGAGUAAUGUCUGGGAAACUGCCCGAUGGAGGGGGAUAACUACUGGAAACGGUAGCUAAUACCGCAUACCAUCGGAUGUGCCCAGAUGGGAUUAGCUAGUAGGGGGGGUAACGGCUCACCUAGGCGACGAUCCCUAGCUGGUCGGAGAGGAUGACCAGCAACACUGGAACUGAGACACGGUCCAGACUCCUACGGGAGGCAGCAGUGGGGAAUAUUGCACAAUGGGCGCAAGCCUGAUGCAGCCAUGCCGCGUGUAUGAAGAAGGCCUUCGGGUUGUAAAGUACUUUCAGCGAGGAGGCGUUACUCGCAGAAGAAGCACCGGCUAACUCCGUGCCAGCAGCCGCGGUAAUAC